rnacentral:rRNA from 1 species
UACGGAGGAGGCAAGCGUUAUCCGGAAUUAUUGGGCGUAAAGCGUCCGUAGGUGGCUAGUCAAGUCUGCGGUCAAAGACUGGGGCUUAACCCUGGAAAGGCCGUGGAAACUGACGAGCUAGAGUGCAGUAGGGGUAGAGGGAAUUCCCGGUGUAGCGGUGAAAUGCGUAGAGCUCGGAAAGAACACCGAUGGCGAAGGCACUCUACUGGGCUAUUACUGACACUCAGAGACGAAAGCUAGGGGAGCAAAUGGG